UUUUUAGGGUAAUGUAUUUAGCAUCUAAAGGUGGCCGUCGACCUAUUGGGUUUGGAAAAAUCGAAUUUUGAGACCAUCAAGGCUCAAACGCAGCAAAAAACUUGUUGAAAAUGCUGCCGUUUGUAAAGGAAUAGCUACAGCGCUUGUCAUCUUGAGGUAUUCAUUGAUUAAAUCACAAUGAAAUGAAUCCUAUUCAGCGCAUAAAAAAUCACAUUGCAGAAAAGCACAGUGCAAAACCCAUCAUUUAUGAGCCCAUAGCAGCUAUAUCUAAAUAUAGUCCGAUCGCCACCAUAUUCGGAAAGGUUAGGGGCCUUACACAACUCUAAAUUCAUCGGCUAAAAAAAUCAUCUUUUAUGGGCCUAAGAACUUUAAUCGGGAGAUCGGUACAUGUGUAUGGCAGCUAUAUUCAAAUAUGGACCGAUCUCAACCAUAUAGAGAAGGCUUAAAAGGUCUCACAGUGCCAAUUUUAGUGAAAUCUGACAAUAAUUGCGCCUUUUAUAGAUCCAAGGCCUUAAAUCGCGAGAUAGGUCUAUAUCGCAGCUAUAUCUAAAUAUAAACCGAUCUGGGCCAUAUUGAACACGAAUGUCGAAGAACCUAACCCAGCCCAUUGUGUAAAUUUGUACCGAAAUCGAGCAAUAAACGUGUUUCUAUGGUUCCAAGAACUUUAAUUGGGACAUCAGUAUA
rnacentral:sRNA from 1 species